CUUGUCUCAGGGUCACACCUGGAGAGUUUCCAAUACUCUACCAGUCUUAGCUACAGGAGGGAGAGUCAAGCAGAGGCAUACCCAUUCCAUUCCUAGUUUGGCCAGUGACUAGUGAGUGAAAGGCAAUCUGCUACAAGU